UUGUAACUACAGCGUUUCCCUCUUAAUAGAUCCUCAAUAAGCAGUCAAUGAGUGACUCACGGAGCAGGGUGUCCACCUCAUCAGAACACCUGAUUGUGAGUGGUGCAGCUUCAGUGUGCAGAAACAUAGCACGAGAGCACAAGAGCACGAGAGAGGUGGGAGUUGGUGUCUCCGUUCCAGGCCACUGUUCAUUCACCUUGGAUUCCUUAAGGAGAAGACCUAAGAUUCUUGAGGUCCCCACCCUAUUAACACAGAAGAGAGAAGCUUAAAAGAACUGCAGGAAGUGAGGGAUGACAUGAAGCAUGAAG
rnacentral:lncRNA from 1 species